UCAUAGAAUUUCUUAAAAUUCAUGAUGUCGUAAGGGAAAAUAAUGAUAUUACCUUACUAUGAGUGUCGUCCAAAUCUGGUGCCAGAAGACUCGGUAAGACCAGAGACGCAAACGUUAAUCAUCCUAAACAGGCGUAAAGGGUUUGUAGGCAGCUCCCAUAAGAUUACUAUUGCAAAAUUUAUAAAGUAAUCUGAUUGGGUGCUAGAAUCAAAAAGAGGUUAUAGUGUAUAACGCCUAGAGGAGGGCUGAUAUCCAUAGAUCCUAGGCAGAAUACUAAAGGCGAAGGCCACUCUCCACUAAUGAUUGACGCUGAGAAACGAAGGUUAGGGUAGGAAAUAGGAUUAGAUACCCCGGUACUCCUUUCUGUAAACGAUGAAUGGUAGUCAUUAGUAAAAGUAAAAUUACUAGAGACGAAGUUAACACAAUAACCAUUCCGCCUUGUGAGUACUACUGCAAAGUAGAAAACAAAAAAAUUAGUCGGUCUCGAAGCAAACGGAGUGAAGCAUGUUAUUUA
rnacentral:rRNA from 1 species